rnacentral:rRNA from 1 species
CCAGAGAUGGAUUGGUGCCUUCGGGAACUGUGAGACAGGUGCUGCAUGGCUGUCGUCAGCUCGUGUUGUGAAAUGUUGGGUUAAGUCCCGCAACGAGCGCAACCCUUAUCCUUUGUUGCCAGCGGUUAGGCCGGGAACUCAAAGGAGACUGCCAGUGAUAAACUGGAGGAAGGUGGGGAUGACGUCAAGUCAUCAUGGCCCUUACGAGUAGGGCUACACACGUGCUACAAUGGCGCAUACAAAGAGAAGCGACCUCGCGAGAGCAAGCGGACCUCAUAAAGUGCGUCGUAGUCCGGAUUGGAGUCUGCAACUCGACUCCAUGAAGUCGGAAUCGCUAGUAAUCGUGGAUCAGAAUGCCACGGUGAAUACG